GCGGAAGUGGCGGAAUUGGUAGACGCACCAGAUUUAGGUUCUGGCGCCGCAAGGGGUGAGAGUUCAAGUCUCUCCUUCCGCACCA
rnacentral:tRNA from 2 species